AAUAAUAAUAAUAAUAUAUUUUAAUAUUAUUUACUUAAAUGAUAAGUAAAUAUGUAAUAAUUACUAAUAUAUGUAUUUCAUUUUUCCACAUGUCUUCAUAUGCACCAUACAUUUGUCAACUUUUAUUUAUUUAUUUAUUUAAAAUAUAAUAAUAAUUUAAUAAUACUAAUUUAAUAAUAAUAAUUUAAUAACAUUUUUUUU
rnacentral:lncRNA from 1 species